CAGUAGUCACGAGUUUGAUCCUGGCUCAGAACGAACGCUGGCGGCAUGCCUAACACAUGCAAGUCGAACGAGACCUUCGGGUCUAGUGGCGCACGGGUGCGUAACGCGUGGGAACCUGCCUUAGGUUCGGAAUAACUCAGAGAAAUUUGAGCUAAUACCGGAUGAUGUCUUCGGACCAAAGAUUUAUCGCCUUUAGAUGGGCCCGCGUAAGAUUAGCUAGUUGUGGGGUAAAGGCCUACCAAGGCGACGAUCUUUAGCUGGUCUGAGAGGAUGAUCAGCCACACUGGGACUGAGACACGGCCCAGACUCCUACGGGAGGCAGCAGUGGGGAAUAUUGGACAAUGGGCGAAAGCCUGAUCCAGCAAUGCCGCGUGAGUGAUGAAGGCCUUAGGGUUGUAAAGCUCUUUUACCCGAGAUGAUAAUGACAGUAUCGGGAGAAUAAGCUCCGGCUAACUCCGUG
rnacentral:rRNA from 1 species